UACUUAAAUGCUAAUGAAUUCCCUAAAAUAAGCAACUGAAUUCGAAUAACAGGUAAAAAUUGAAAUGAAAUACAUAAAGCUAGGUUCCUAAUUCAUUGCUAUUGAUGUAGGUUAGACCGUAUACUGCGCAUAUGACAAAUAGGCAAUUUCCACUGAAAUCUAGUUUCUUGUGAAACGCCGAACUAUUACAUAAACACCAAACGAGAAAGUAGAAGGACUAAGGGAUUACAAGAAGUUUGAAAAGAAACAGGAGAAGAACUAAACGAAGUUUUUAUCAAAGCGAUUAAAAACACGGAUUUCAAUUCUUCUCUUCUUCUGUAAACCCAACAAAUG